rnacentral:rRNA from 1 species
CCUACGGGGCGCUGCAGUGGGGAAUAUUGGACAAUGGGCGAAAGCCUGAUCCAGCCAUGCCGCGUGUGUGAAGAAGGCCUUCGGGUUGUAAAGCACUUUCAGUGGGGAAGAAAGCCUUGGGGCUAAUACCCUCGAGGAAGGACAUCACCCACAGAAGAAGCACCGGCUAACUCCGUGCCAGCAGCCGCGGUAAUACGGAGGGUGCAAGCGUUAAUCGGAAUUACUGGGCGUAAAGCGCGCGUAGGCGGUCUGAUAAGCCGGUUGUGAAAGCCCCGGGCUCAACCUGGGAACGGCAUCCGGAACUGUCAGGCUAGAGUGCAGGAGAGGAAGGUAGAAUUCCCGGUGUAGCGGUGAAAUGCGUAGAGAUCGGGAGGAAUACCAGUGGCGAAGGCGGCCUUCUGGACUGACACUGACGCUGAGGUGCGAAAGCGUGGGUAGCAAACAGGAUUAGAUACCCGUGUAGUC